rnacentral:rRNA from 1 species
GACGAACGCUGGCGGCGUGCUUAACACAUGCAAGUCGAACGCUGAAGCUCAGCUUUUGUUGGGUGGAUGAGUGGCGAACGGGUGAGUAACACGUGAGUAACCUGCCCUCUUCUUUGGGAUAACGCCCGGAAACGGGUGCUAAUACUGGAUAUUCACUUGCCUUCGCAUGGGGGUUGGUGGAAAGGGUUUUUUCUGGUGGGGGAUGGGCUCGCGGCCUAUCAGCUUGUUGGUGGGGUGAUGGCCUACCAAGGCUUUGACGGGUAGCCGGCCUGAGAGGGUGACCGGUCACAUUGGGACUGAGAUACGGCCCAGACUCCUACGGGAGGCAGCAGUGGGGAAUAUUGCACAAUGGGCGAAAGCCUGAUGCAGCGACGCCGCGUGAGGGAUGGAGGCCUUCGGGUUGUAAACCUCUUUCGCUCAUGGUCAAGCCGCAGCUUUGGGUUGUGGUGAGGGUAGUGGGUAAAGAAGCGCCGGCUAACUACGUGACAGCAGCCGCGGCGAUACGAAGAGCG